AUUUUUAUAAAUAAAAAAAUAUUAACAAAACCUUAGAUACAUUAAAUUUAUCAUAAAUCUAAUUUUGACAUCAUUCAAAAUAAAAUAAAAUUUAAACCUAUGACAAACAUGCACUCAUAAAAACCUCUCUUCUACAUGUCUUCUUUCCUCCCCCUUUAUCAUUCAUUUUUCCAAUGGACAUGUGCUAAAGAAAUCCAACAAUUAAUAGUCU
rnacentral:lncRNA from 1 species